AUUGAACGCUGGCGGCAGGUCUAACACAUGCAAGUCGAACGAGUGGCGGACGGGUGAGUAAUGUCUGGGAAACUGCCUGAGGGAGGGGGAUAACUACUGGAAACGGUAGCUAAUACCGCAUACCAUCGGAUGUGCCCAGAUGGGAGUAGCUAGUAGGUGGGGUAAAGGCUCACCUAGGCGACGAUCCCUAGCUGGUCUGAGAGGAUGACCAGCCACCAUGGAACUGAGACACGGCCCAGACUCCUACGGGAGGAAGCAGUGGGUAAUAUUGCACAAUGUGCGCAGUCCUGAUGCAUCCAUGCCGCGUGUAGGAAGAAGGCCGUCGGGUUGUAAAGUACUUUCAGCGGGGAGUCGUUACCCGCAGAAGAAGCACCGGCUAACUCCGUGCCAUCAGCCGCGGUAAUAC
rnacentral:rRNA from 1 species